rnacentral:sRNA from 1 species
UGAGGAGGAACGCUAAUGACGAAGUCAUUUUUGAAUGCGUUCCUCCGACCUGCCGCCUGCUGAAGGCAGGGGGCGAUUCCGA